GACGAACGCUGGCGGCGUGCCUAAUACAUGCAAGUAGAACGCACAGGAUGCACCGUAGUUUACUACACCGUAUUCUGUGAGUUGCGAACGGGUGAGUAACGCGUAGGUAACCUGCCUGGUAGCGGGGGAUAACUAUUGGAAACGAUAGCUAAUACCGCAUAAGAACAUUUACUGCAUGGUAGAUGUUUAAAAGGUGCAAAUGCAUCACUACCAGAUGGACCUGCGUUGUAUUAGCUAGUAGGUGAGGUAACGGCUCACCUAGGCGACGAUACAUAGCCGACCUGAGAGGGUGAUCGGCCACACUGGGACUGAGACACGGCCCAGACUCCUACGGGAGGCAGCAGUAGGGAAUCUUCGGCAAUGGGGGGAACCCUGACCGAGCAACGCCGCGUGAGUGAAGAAGGUUUUCGGAUCGUAAAGCUCUGUUGUUAAGGAAGAACGAGUGUGAGAAUGGAAAGUUCAUACCUGUGACGUACUAACCAGAAAGGGACGG
rnacentral:rRNA from 1 species